GAAGUUCUGCGCGGGUUGGGCUGGACGCGUUGGAGCUCCGCGUUACGCCCCGCGCGGCUUUGCAGAAGGACCCCCUGCAAAGCAAGAAGAACUGAUGGCAGGUGGACAAGGCAGUUAUAGAAUGGAUCCCACUUGAUAAAAUGCGUCCACGAAAGAGACCUAAAACAAGAUGGAUCGAUGACAUCAAGUAUUGUGGGCCCAAUUGGCAAAAGAAAGCUCAGGACCGUAUUGGUUGGAAACAUGCAGAAGAGGUCUUCAUGCUGCAGUGGAUAGACAAUGGCUAAAAUGAUGAUGAAAUGAUGAUGACGAAUGCUUAAAUUCACACUCUUCAAACCCCGUAACUGGUUCUGCAAAUUCUCUUGGAUAAAAUUGGUUAUAACGUAACAUGCUAAUAAAGAUAUAACUGUCUCCCCCUUA